rnacentral:rRNA from 1 species
AAAUUGAAGAGUUUGAUCAUGGCUCAGAUUGAACGCUGGCGGCAGGCCUAACACAUGCAAGUCGAACGGUAGCACAGAGAGCUUGCUCUCGGGUGACGAGUGGCGGACGGGUGAGUAAUGUCUGGGAAACUGCCCGAUGGAGGGGGAUAACUACUGGAAACGGUAGCUAAUACCGCAUAACGUCGCAAGACCAAAGUGGGGGACCUUCGGGCCUCACACCAUCGGAUGUGCCCAGAUGGGAUUAGCUAGUAGGUGGGGUAACGGCUCACCUAGGCGACGAUCCCUAGCUGGUCUGAGAGGAUGACCAGCCACACUGGAACUGAGACACGGUCCAGACUCCUACGGGAGGCAGCAGUGGGGAAUAUUGCACAAUGGGCGCAAGCCUGAUGCAGCCAUGCCGCGUGUAUGAAG